ensembl:lincRNA 1700025H01Rik RIKEN cDNA 1700025H01 gene
AAGUGGGCAGAGUAGAUUCCACUGGCUCCUGAGGGUGUGGCUUGGAAGCAAGCACCAGGGCACCCUCCAUCAUCCUUGGCCCUGCUGCUCUUUGGAUUUCUAACAGGAACUGAACGGACACUUCCAGUGGUGAGAAUGAGCCAUGGAAAGAUGGUGCCAUCUCAGUCAUGGCCAAUCAGAGAGUGAUGCACCACAGCAGCCCCACACGGAAGCCUGGGAGGCAGAGGGAUGGGACUCCAGACCUGAGCCCACACAGCUGAGCUUUAAGCAAUAAGCCAAGCCAAGAUAGGGGAGGUGGAGAGGAGCUGGAACAGAUCCAAGGAGCAAGAGCUGAGGCAGCUGGGCCAGGAACAACUGGGGGACCUGGAGGUGGUCUGGGAGAGCUCCAGGUUCAGCAGGCCUGGAUUCCCACCUACAAAGGGCCAGGGUCACAAGGGGCCUCUGGUAAGCCAGGAAGGAAAGCACAUGAAGACGGCAGAGACCCUGACAGCUGGGUACAGAAUACUCACAGAGAAAAAGAGGGCAGAUGGUAAAAAAGCUAUACCUC